AUUGAACGCUGGCGGCAGGCCUAACACAUGCAAGUCGAACGAGUGGCGGACGGGUGAGUAAUGUCUGGGACACUGCCUGAUGGAGGGGGUUAACUACUGGAAACGGUAGCUAAUACCGCAUACCAGCGGAUGUGCCCAGAUGGGAUUAGCUAGUAGGUGGGGUAGCGGCUCACCUAGGCGACGAGCCCUAGCUGGUCUGCGAGGAUGACCAGCCACACUGGAACGUAGACACGGUCCAGAAUCCGACGGGAGGCAGCAGUGGGGAAUAUUGCACAAUGGGCGCAAGCCUGAUGCAGCCAUGCCGCGUGUAUGAAGAAGGCCUUCGGGUUGUAAAGUACUUUCAGCGGGGAGGCGUUACCCGCAGAAGAAGCACCGGCUAACUCCGUGCCAGCAGCCGCGGUAAUAC
rnacentral:rRNA from 1 species